rnacentral:rRNA from 1 species
GAUGAACGCUAGCGACAGGCUUAACACAUGCAAGUCGAGGGGCAGCACGGGAGUAGCAAUACAACUGGUGGCGACCGGCGCACGGGUGAGUAACGCGUAUGCAACCUACCUAUCAGAGGGGAAUAACCCGGCGAAAGUCGGACUAAUACCGCAUAAAACAGGGGCACCGCAUGGUGAUAUUUGUUAAAGAAAUUCGCUGAUAGAUGGGCAUGCGUUCCAUUAGGUAGUUGGUGAGGUAACGGCUCACCAAGCCGACGAUGGAUAGGGGAACUGAGAGGUUGGUCCCCCACACUGGUACUGAGACACGGACCAGACUCCUACGGGAGGCAGCAGUGAGGAAUAUUGGUCAAUGGGCGGGAGCCUGAACCAGCCAAGUCGCGUGAAGGAAGAAGGAUCUAUGGUUCGUAAACUUCUUUUGUAGGGGAAUAAAGUGCAGGACGUGUCCUGUUUUGUAUGUACCCUGAGAAUAAGGAUCGGCUAACUCCGUGCCAGCAGCCGCGGUAAUAC